ensembl:lncRNA
AUAACAUCAUCCAGAAAUGAACGUAAAUUAUUUUAUCUUUGGUAAUUAUAUUUAUUUUCUACAGGAUUGAUCCCAUACUCUGAUGUGGCAUUAGGCCCAUGAUUUAGUGACAUUUUAAACUACAGAUGUAGAAUUUUAAUUUGAUCACCCUGUUGCAGGAGAUCUUUCCUGCAUUGCAGGACAUGUAAAACUUUGAGAUUUUAGACUUGAUUGUUCCUGUAGACUUGAUUGUAUCAAACUCUACCAAAAAAAAUGACAAUUAAUUAUAUUUAUCAUAAUACACAUUUAGCAAACUGGCUUAAAUUAAGAUUCUACACCUGUAUUGAGCUGUUGACAGCUACUGUUCAGUGUCAUCAUGUCCUUUUGAUUAUAGACUGGAUCUUUAUUCCAUCUAUGUCUAGUACACAGCAUAUGAAUCACGUGCAAAUUAAAGAUGUCUACAGAAAUGUCAUGUCUAUAGAGAGAUUGGUUUUCCAAUUAUUUAGCACUGAACACUUAAAUGAACACAUUGUUUAACAAUUUUUGAUGGACACAUACAUUAUACUGUAUUUCUUUUAUUUUCUCAGUUAUAAACGAUGGUAAUAUAAAACAAAUCUACAUCAACAUUUUGGCUAAACUUUAUUUGUUUGAAUUGAUAAUGAUUACAGAGUGUAAUCUAAUGGCUCUAUUCAAUCUGUAUCUCGGAGAUUCAACGUUACAGCGUGAUUGACAUUUAAAGGCAACGUUCCCACGUUAGGGGAGAAUGCAUUCAACGAGAAGCGAUGCAGAUUGAAUAGAGCCCUAAAAUGUGAUAUAUGAUACAAUAAAGUGUCGAUGUUAAAGUAUUGUGUGUUUUAACUGUAAAAAUUGCUCUUAUUGCUCCACCAAUAGCAGGCCUUAAUACAGUAAGAACCACCAAUAGCAGGCCUUAAUACAGUAAGAACCACCAAUAGCAGGCCUUAAUACAGUAAGAACCACCAAUAGUAGGCCUUAAUACAGUAAGAACCACCAAUAGUAGGCCUUAAUACAAUAAGAACCACCAAUAGCAGGCCUUAAUACAGUAAGAACCACCAAUAGUAGGCCUUAAUACAGUAAGAACCACCAAUAGUAGGCCUUAAUACAAUAAGAACCACCAAUAGCAGGCCUUAAUACAAUAAGAACCACCAAUAGCAGGCCUUAAUACAGUAAGAACCACCAAUAGCAGACCUUAAUACAGUAAGAACCACCAAUAGCAGGCCUUAAUACAGUAAGAACCACCAAUAGCAGGCCUUAAUACAGUAAGAACCAC